UGAUAUUUAUUUUAUUUAAAAAUUGACUCUUCAUGACACACUUUUGACAUGACGUGACAUGUUUUUUUUUUUUGCCCAAUGGUAUAGAGGCAGAUGAUCAGAAGUGGAUCCACUAAACAACCUAAAGAAAAUGCUUGUCUUUGAUAAAUUUGAUUAAAAUAAAUACAUAAAUAAAAUGCUUAUAUUGAGAUCUUUGAUGCUACAUCUUCGCAAAUCUGAAAUCUCUCAUGAAAUAGAGGAGCUAUGUGUGAGAUGAAAGUUACAUUUAUCAAAAAAAUGAAGAAAAAAAAGAGUGCUAUUAUGAACCUGCCCAGCAAGCAAUAGCCGUCAUUUCAACGUCUGGGUUAAAUAUAGACCAGAUAUAGUCCGGCUAUGUGUAACCCACUUUUAGCCCAAAUAACAUUUAAUCUGGAUAAAUGUAUUUUUUUUGCAAAAUAACUUGUGAGAUGUAUGAUAUUCCAUCAUGUACGCAGAGUCUAACGUGAUUACAAGUUGUUUGGUUUACUUUAUUUUACAUGUUAUAUGUGUAGGCUGUGCGUAGCCACGAUUUAGCUCGUAUUCAGACCCGGCUAUUGUAGCCCACUUUUUGUCAAAACUGAUUAAUUGUAUUUUUUUGCCAGGCAGUGCAUGAAAUGGUUAAUAUUCAAUCAUGUUCGCAUUGGUAUGAUAUCAAGGUUCAAUACGUCAUUUCACGGCAUGGUAGAUCACGAUUUAGCUCCGAAUUGGACGGGCUAUAUGCGGUCUGCUUUAGCCCACCUGGCGAAAUUAUUGCAAUCUGGGCUCAGAUAUAGACCAGCGACCUAGAAUAUUAGUCUUUGAAAUGUUUUCGCUUACACAGCUUAAUAUAUAUUUUCUGUCAAACAUUCAUACACAAUCUACGAUAAAAAUAUCUAAUCAAAUGCAAUUGCAUUUCCCAACCGCUAGAUGGCACAAUUGAAACACUACUGAGACAUGUCUACUGGAACUAAUGCCAUUGCGUGACUAGAUCACUUAAGCCAAAUCUCGCGAUAAACAUUUCCGCCAUUUUAUUUUACACGAGGCAGCUGUCGGAGUGCAACGGGUGAGCAACAGUCUGAGUGAAAACCUUCACAUUUCUACUUCGAUCUUAAGAAAGCCAUACAGGUUUGGAACCAAGUGAAAACGCAGUGAUGACCAGCUUUCCAUCAGCUAUGGAAUGUGAAAUAAAAAAUGCUAUUUCUAAUAAUUUCAAACAAGCACCAGGGAGGGCAGGGGGUGGGGGUUAUGGAUCUAAAGUAAACAGUUAAUUCUUAAAAAUUAAUUGUUUUACAUAUUUUUCCAAUGUUUUAUUUGUUCAUUUUUAUGUUUGAAUGUUGUCCAAGUUGUUGUUGUCUAUAUAAUUGUUCAAAAUAAAUCCCUUUAU